GAUGAACGCUAGCUACAGGCUUAACACAUGCAAGUCGCGGGGCAGCAUGUCGGUUGCUUGCAACCGAUGAUGGCGACCGGCGCACGGGUGAGUAACUCGUAUCCAACCUGCCCUUCACCACGGAAUAAUCCAGUGAAAAUUGGUCUAAUACCGUAUGAGGUCAUACGAUGGCAUCAGAAUAUGACGAAAGGUUUGGCGGUGGAGGAUGGGGAUGCGUCUGAUUAGCUUGUUGGUGAGGUAACGGCUCACCAAGGCGACGAUCAGUAGGGGUUCUGAGAGGAAGGUCCCCGACAGUGGAACUGAGACACGGUCCAAACUCCUACGGGAAGCAGCAGUGAGGGAUAUUGGUCAAUGGGCGAGAGCCUGAACCAGCCAAGUAGCGUGCAGGAAGACGGCCCUAUGUGUUGUAAACUGCUUUUAUAUGGGGAUAAAGUGAGCUACGUGUAGUUUAUUGCAGGUACCAUAUGAAUAAGGACCGGCUAAUUCCGUGCCAGCCGCCGCGGUAA
rnacentral:rRNA from 1 species